rnacentral:rRNA from 1 species
UAAUACGAAGGACCCGAGCGUUAUCCGGAUUUAUUGGGUUUAAAGGGUGCGUAGGCGGAUUUAUAAGUCAGUGGUGAAAUCUCCCCGCUCAACGGGGAAACUGCCAUUGAAACUAUUUAUCUUGAGUACAUUUGAGGCGGGCGGAAUGUGUCAUGUAGAGGUGAAAUUCUUAGAUAUGACACAGAACACCAAUUGCGAAGGCAGCUCGCUAAACUGUAACUGACGCUGAGGCACGAAAGCGUGGGGAUCAAACAGGAUUAGAUACCCUGGUAGUCCACGCCCUAAACGAUGAUUACUCGAAGUGUGCGAUACACAGCACGCCUCUGAGCGAAAGCAUUAAGUAAUCCACCUGGGAAGUACGACCGCAAGGUUG